GCCGACGUAGCUCAGUUGGCCAGAGCACCGCUCUCGUAAAGCGGGGGUCGGGGGUUCGAAUCCCCCCGUCGGCU
rnacentral:tRNA from 1 species